UCCCCUGGGGGUCAAUAAAGUAUCUAUCUAUCUAUCUAUCUAUCUAUCUAUCUAUCUAUCUAGCUAUCUAUCUAGCUAGCUAGCCCUUAGUGAAGGCUGUUUCAAUUUGGAGCCACAGAGGGACAGAUCUGUAUGGUCACUCGUAUGGUGUGGAGUUGUCUCUAUGGUAACACUACUUCAGCUGUUAAGACAGCAUCAUGUUGUCAGCAUUAGAUUGAAACACAUGCAGAGGAAUCCACAUGAUUGAACUCUUGCAUGUCUUACUCCAGAUAUGAAGUAUCUGGACUUGAUCACUUAAUGGAGAUCAAGUCCACUUUUUGUACUCUGUAUGUAAGUCUGUUACAAAUUGCAUUUGUUAUAAUGUGCCAUUGUGCUACAAUGUCUACUAUACUUUUUUGAAUAGAAAUCAUGGGCUACUGUGCCAUUAAGAAAGUAAUCACGAACACUGUCUUUGUAGGUCUUUUUUAUCCCCCGUUUCUUAACUCACAUCCACUCUACAUGUAUGUUGUAGUCUGUUCUUUUGUAUGUGUACGUUUGAUGUUACAUGGUUUUGUAUCUAAGAUGCCAAUAUUCACAAUGGCCUUAUUUCUAAUAAAAAAGAUCAAUUACUGUAA